rnacentral:rRNA from 1 species
CCUACGGGGUGCAGCAGUGGGGAAUAUUGGACAAUGGGCGAAAGCCUGAUCCAGCCAUGCCGCGUGUGUGAAGAAGGCCUUCGGGUUGUAAAGCACUUUCAGUGGGGAAGAAAGCCUUGGGGCUAAUACCCUCGAGGAAGGACAUCACCCACAGAAGAAGCACCGGCUAACUCCGUGCCAGCAGCCGCGGUAAUACGGAGGGUGCGAGCGUUAAUCGGAAUUACUGGGCGUAAAGCGCGCGUAGGCGGUCUGAUAAGCCGGUUGUGAAAGCCCCGGGCUCAACCUGGGAACGGCAUCCGGAACUGUCAGGCUAGAGUGCAGGAGAGGAAGGUAGAAUUCCCGGUGUAGCGGUGAAAUGCGUAGAGAUCGGGAGGAAUACCAGUGGCGAAGGCGGCCUUCUGGACUGACACUGACGCUGAGGUGCGAAAGCGUGGGUAGCAAACAGGAUUAGAUACUCCUGUAGUC